rnacentral:lncRNA from 1 species
GCCACAUUCCCAAGAUGUACAUGUGAUGUAGAUAAAUCAUAUUUUGAACCUGAAAGCAUAGGUAGUCCUGUUACCCCAACUUUCAGAUGUUUUUAUCGGUGGUUACUAUUUUAUUUUCUACCACGUUGGCACUGUUUUAUCUUACUCUAAGAAAGUCAAGGCCCUAUCUCAAGAAAUGAAACUUGGAAAUACUCCCCUUACCCUCCCACAAUUUGUUACCUGCUCGGUUUACAUUUUUUUGUGCUAUCCUACAAUGGGGAGCAAGGUAGGGGCAAUACAGAGAUCCAAAUCUGGCUAAUUCUAGGAAAGGUGAAGGGAUCUUGAGCUUGAUACCUCCCUGACCUUAAGCUGAAUCUGAAGGUGUGUUCCACAGCUCAGAUGCCAAACUGGGCAAGUAUCAUAGUACUGAUAACCUUGGCCCCUGAGAAGUGGGCCCAACACACCUGAAGAACACAGGGUCUGAGGGUGAUUGGCAUCUCUGCUUCUCUGUGGGCAUUAUAUUCCAUGUAGCUGGCUCCUCCUACAUUAAUAUAGAGAAGUGUGUCCAUUCAUCCAGCCUCCCUUCAUCUGUAUUAUGUAUGCCAACCAAAACAGGCAUUAUUGUUUCCAGGGACAGACCUCAGCCCUGCUGAGAUCCUCAGAGCAGCAGCCUGGGACAUUCCUCUUCAGAAGCUGGGGAUUUGGGGGUGUGGGAACUACUCUUGCUCAAAUAACCAGUAUCAGAGUGAAUAUUUGUCUUUCACCUGUGUUUUAUUACUUUUUAUUGUGGGAAAAUUUAAUAUACAAACAAGGAUAAUAGAGUGUUAUGAAUCUCUGCGUACUGUAUUUAUCAUUUCAUGGCAGUUUCUUAUUUCAUCUGGAUCCCCUCUCUGUUCUUUCCCUACAGAUUAUUUUGAAGCAAAUUCCAG